UACGUAGGGUGCAAGCGUUGUCCGGAUUUAUUGGGCGUAAAGAGCUCGUAGGCGGUUUUGAAAGUCGGGUGUGAAACCUCCAGGCUCAACCUGGAGACGCCACUCGAUACUUCAAUGACUUGAGUUCGGUAGGGGUAAGCGGAAUUCCUGGUGUAGCGGUGGAAAUGACGCAGAUAUCAGGAGGAACACCCGUGGCGAAAGCGGCUCUCUGGGACGGUACUGACGCUGAGACGCGAAAGCGUGGGGAGCAAACAGG
rnacentral:rRNA from 1 species